UUAAGCGACUAAGCGUACACGGUGGAUGCCCUGGCAGUCAGAGGCGAUGAAGGACGUGCUAAUCUGCGAAAAGCGUCGGUAAGGUGAUAUGAACCGUUAUAACCGGCGAUGUCCGAAUGGGGAAACCCAGUGUGAUUCGUCACACUAUCGUUAACUGAAUACAUAGGUUAACGAGGCGAACCGGGGGAACUGAAACAUCUAAGUACCCCGAGGAAAAGAAAUCAACCGAGAUUCCCCCAGUAGCGGCGAGCGAACGGGGAGCAGCCCAGAGUCUGAAUCAGCUUGUGUGUUAGUGGAACGGUCUGGAAAGUCCGACGGUACAGGGUGAUAGUCCCGUACACCAAAAUGCACAGGUUGUGAACUCGAAGAGUAGGGCGGGACACGUGGUAUCCUGUCUGAAUAUGGGGGGACCAUCCUCCAAGGCUAAAUACUCCUGACUGACCGAUAGUGAACCAGUACCGUGAGGGAAAGGCGAAAAGAACCCCGGCGAGGGGAGUGAAAAAGAACCUGAAACCGUGUACGUACAAGCAGUGGGAGCACCUUCGGGUGUGACUGCGUACCUUUUGUAUAAUGGGUCAGCGACUUAUAUUCUGUAGCAAGGUUAACCGUAUAGGGGAGCCGCAGGGAAACCGAGUCUUAACUGGGCGUUAAGUUGCAGGGUAUAGACCCGAAACCCGGUGAUCUAGCCAUGGGCAGGUUGAAGGUUGGGUAACACUAACUGGAGGACCGAACCGACUAAUGUUGAAAAAUUAGCGGAUGACUUGUGGCUGGGGGUGAAAGGCCAAUCAAACCGGGAGAUAGCUGGUUCUCCCCGAAAGCUAUUUAGGUAGCGCCUCGUGAACUCAUCUUCGGGGGUAGAGCACUGUUUCGGCUAGGGGGUCAUCCCGACUUACCAACCCGAUGCAAACUACGAAUACCGAAGAAUGUUAUCACGGGAGACACACGGCGGGUGCUAACGUCCGUCGUGAAGAGGGAAACAACCCAGACCGCCAGCUAAGGUCCCAAAGUCAUGGUUAAGUGGGAAACGAUGUGGGAAGGCACAGACAGCCAGGAUGUUGGCUUAGAAGCAGCCAUCAUUUAAAGAAAGCGUAAUAGCUCACUGGUCGAGUCGGCCUGCGCGGAAGAUGUAACGGGGCUAAACCAUGCACCGAAGCUGCGGCAGCGACACUAUGUGUUGUUGGGUAGGGGAGCGUUCUGUAAGCCUGCGAAGGUGACCUGUGAGGGUUGCUGGAGGUAUCAGAAGUGCGAAUGCUGACAUAAGUAACGAUAAAGCGGGUGAAAAGCCCGCUCGCCGGAAGACCAAGGGUUCCUGUCCAACGUUAAUCGGGGCAGGGUGAGUCGACCCCUAAGGCGAGGCCGAAAGGCGUAGUCGAUGGGAAACAGGUUAAUAUUCCUGUACUUGGUGUUACUGCGAAGGGGGGACGGAGAAGGCUAUGUUAGCCGGGCGACGGUUGUCCCGGUUUAAGCAUGUAGGCUGAUUAUCCAGGCAAAUCCGGAUAAUCAAGGCUGAGGUGUGAUGACGAGGCACUACGGUGCUGAAGUAACAAAUGCCCUGCUUCCAGGAAAAGCCUCUAAGCAUCAGGUAACAUUAAAUCGUACCCCAAACCGACACAGGUGGUCAGGUAGAGAAUACCAAGGCGCUUGAGAGAACUCGGGUGAAGGAACUAGGCAAAAUGGUGCCGUAACUUCGGGAGAAGGCACGCUGGUGUGUAGGUGAAGUCCCUGCGGAUGGAGCUGAGACCAGUCGAAGAUACCAGCUGGCUGCAACUGUUUAUUAAAAACACAGCACUGUGCAAACACGAAAGUGGACGUAUACGGUGUGACGCCUGCCCGGUGCCGGAAGGUUAAUUGAUGGGGUUAUCCGUAAGGAGAAGCUCUUGAUCGAAGCCCCGGUAAACGGCGGCCGUAACUAUAACGGUCCUAAGGUAGCGAAAUUCCUUGUCGGGUAAGUUCCGACCUGCACGAAUGGCGUAAUGAUGGCCAGGCUGUCUCCACCCGAGACUCAGUGAAAUUGAACUCGCUGUGAAGAUGCAGUGUACCCGCGGCAAGACGGAAAGACCCCGUGAACCUUUACUAUAGCUUGACACUGAACAUUGAGCCUUGAUGUGUAGGAUAGGUGGGAGGCUUUGAAGCGUGGACGCCAGUCUGCGUGGAGCCAACCUUGAAAUACCACCCUUUAAUGUUUGAUGUUCUAACGUUGGCCCCUGACCGGGGUUGCGGACAGUGUCUGGUGGGUAGUUUGACUGGGGCGGUCUCCUCCCAAAGCGUAACGGAGGAGCACGAAGGUUAGCUAAUCCUGGUCGGACAUCAGGAGGUUAGUGCAAUGGCAUAAGCUAGCUUGACUGCGAGCGUGACGGCGCGAGCAGGUGCGAAAGCAGGUCAUAGUGAUCCGGUGGUUCUGAAUGGAAGGGCCAUCGCUCAACGGAUAAAAGGUACUCCGGGGAUAACAGGCUGAUACCGCCCAAGAGUUCAUAUCGACGGCGGUGUUUGGCACCUCGAUGUCGGCUCAUCACAUCCUGGGGCUGAAGUAGGUCCCAAGGGUAUGGCUGUUCGCCAUUUAAAGUGGUACGCGAGCUGGGUUUAGAACGUCGUGAGACAGUUCGGUCCCUAUCUGCCGUGGGCGCUGGAGAAUUGAGGGGGGCUGCUCCUAGUACGAGAGGACCGGAGUGGACGCAUCACUGGUGUUCGGGUUGUCAUGCCAAUGGCACUGCCCGGUAGCUAAAUGCGGAAGAGAUAAGUGCUGAAAGCAUCUAAGCACGAAACUUGCCCCGAGAUGAGUUCUCCCUGAGACUUUAAGUCUCCUGAAGGAACGUUAAAGACGAUGACGUUGAUAGGCCGGGUGUGUAAGCGCAGCGAUGCGUUGAGCUAACCGGUACUAAUGAACCGUGAGGCUUAACCUU
rnacentral:rRNA from 2 species